rnacentral:tRNA from 1 species
GGACUGUAGCUCAGUGGCAGAGUGCUUGCCUAGCAUGUGUGAGGCACUGGGUUCGGUCCUCAGCACCA